rnacentral:rRNA from 1 species
AUUGAACGCUGGCGGCAUGCUUUACACAUGCAAGUCGAACGGCAGCACGGGUGCUUGCACCUGGUGGCGAGUGGCGAACGGGUGAGUAAUGCAUCGGAACGUGCCCAUGAGUGGGGGAUAGCCCGGCGAAAGACCGGAUUAAUACCGCAUACGCCCUUAGGGGGAAAGGACGGGGGAGUCUUCGGACCUCGCGCUAUUGGAGCGGCCGAUGUCGGAUUAGCUAGUAGGUGAGGUAAAGGCUCACCUAGGCGACGAUCCGUAGCUGGUCUGAGAGGAUGAUCAGCCACACUGGGACUGAGACACGGCCCAGACUCCUACGGGAGGCAGCAGUGGGGAAUUUUGGACAAUGGGCGCAAGCCUGAUCCAGCCAUGCCGCGUGAGUGAAGAAGGCC